UCAGAUUGAACGCUGGCGGCAUGCCUUACACAUGCAAGUCGAACGGCAGCACGGGAGCAAUCCUGGUGGCGAGUGGCGAACGGGUGAGUAAUACAUCGGAACGUGCCCUGUAGUGGGGGAUAACUAGUCGAAAGACUAGCUAAUACCGCAUACGACCUGAGGGUGAAAGUGGGGGACCGCAAGGCCUCAUGCUAUAGGAGCGGCCGAUGUCUGAUUAGCUAGUUGGUGGGGUAAAGGCCUACCAAGGCGACGAUCAGUAGCUGGUCUGAGAGGACGAUCAGCCACACUGGGACUGAGACACGGCCCAGACUCCUACGGGAGGCAGCAGUGGGGAAUUUUGGACAAUGGGGGCAACCCUGAUCCAGCAAUGCCGCGUGUGUGAAGAAGGCCUUCGGGUUGUAAAGCACUUUUGUCCGGGAAGAAAUCGCACCUGAUAAUACCGGGUGUGGAUGACGGUACCGGAAGAAUAAGGACCGGCUAACUACGUGCCAGCAGCCGCGGUAAUACGUAGGGUCCAAGCGUUAAUCGGAAUUACUGGGCGUAAAGCGUGCGCAGGCGGUUGUGCAAGACCGAUGUGAAAUCCCCGGGCUUAACCUGGG
rnacentral:rRNA from 1 species